GCUUUCGUGGUGCAAUGGUCAGCACACUGAGCCGGUAUUUCAGAGGUCCGUGGUUCGAUCCCUGGCGAAGGCA
rnacentral:tRNA from 1 species